CGGUUUUUGUGGAGCGAUGGGUAACGAUGCAUCGAGGGUGGAUGUUAUCUUUGUGUGCAGAGGGUCCCUGGUUCGAGCCCAGGUAGGGGCGAGGAGAGGGACGAUAGCAAAACUGUUACAUGGGCAUCAUUUUAAUCAGGAGAAUUUCCUCUUUGUAAUUAUAGAGCGAGCUGACCAAGGGGUCAAAAAUGUAGAUAUUGCCAGAUAUUCACUGUCCGAGGAACAGGCCGUGGUAGCUUUAUUGCUUGUAAAAGUAUCCAUAACCAGAGGUUAUAUCAGCUGUUUUGGUGAACCCCUUCCGCAUCUGAACUGGCUGACACAGAGGGCACAGCAUGAUCAUAGGUAUAUUUUGAUGUGAGAGAGGAAGCCAGUCCCGUCAUCGCCACCUCACUCGCUCUUAAGAUAACCUUUGGGCCAACUGGGAGCCCAAGGCUCGUUAGGAGACACCGCAAUUGUGAUGAACUGAGAGAAUAUUAGGGUAGCACUGUAAUUCAUGAAUCAUAUGCUGUCUAUGUAUUUAUAACACCAGGAUAAUGAACGUCUUUCAAUAAAGUGUUUCACA